rnacentral:rRNA from 1 species
UACGUAGGGUGCAAGCGUUAAUCGGAAUUACUGGGCGUAAAGCGUGCGCAGGCGGUUUUGCAAGACAGGUGUUAAAUCCCCGGGCUUAACCUGGGAACCGCAUUUGUGACUGCAUAGCUGGAGUACGGAAGAGGGGGAUGGAAUUCCGCGUGUAGCAGUGAAAUGCGUAGAUAUGCGGAGGAACACCGAUGGCGAAGGCAGUCCCCUGGGCCUGUACUGACGCUCAUGCACGAAAGCGUGGGGAGCAAACAGG